rnacentral:misc_RNA from 1 species
GUUUGAACUAAAACACCUUCCAUGAAACUAAUUUUAUGGGGAUUGUUUCAAAACUAAACCUGAAUACCAUUUUAGAUAUGGUAAUUGUUUUUCUAUGGUUUGUUCUAUUUGACAGAACCUAAUUUUGGAAAAUUUUGCCUUGGGAUCAUGAGGGAGAGAAAACAACCCUACUCCAGAGGAACAUUUGACAGGAGCAUCUGA